AUGCUGGGUAGACGUGAAAACCCAGGGGAACAUGAAGCCAUGUGUAAGAUGAAAAAUGAAUUUAUGGUGAACUGGGAUGGUCUGAGAACAAAAGACAAAGAACGUGUAUUAGUACUUGCUGCAACUAAUAGGCCGUUUAAUCUUGAUGAGGUUGGAUCUUUGACUAGCCGGUGUCAGUCCUGUUUUUCAGCUAUGACAAGUGAUUGCCAUGCUCUGCAUCCGCAACUCUAA
rnacentral:rRNA from 1 species